CAAAGCACUGAAAAUGCUUAGAUGGAUUUCUGAUCCCAUAAACAAAAAGGUUUGGUCCUGGCCUUAUAGUUAAUUAGAGGUAAAGUUACACAUGCGAAUAUCCAUAACCCAGUGUCAAAUCCCUAGGUUUUAUGCUAAACCCUAAGGAGAGGGCAUCAAGCACAUACCUUAUAGCUAAAGACGCCUUGCCCAGCCACGCCCCCACGGGAUUCAGCAGUGAUAAAAAUUAAGCAAUGAACGAAAGUUUGACUAAGUUAUACCUCUCAAGGGGUUGGUAAAUUUCGUGCCAGCCACCGCGGUCAUACGAUUAACCCAAACUAAUUAUUCUCGGCGUAAAACGUGUUUAUAAGACUCAACAAUAGAAUUAAAACCUGAUUAAUAUGUGAAAAUUCAUUAUCAGACUUAAAUUCAAUAACGAAAGUAAUUCUAAUAAAAUAUACACGAUAGCUAAGACCCAAACUGGGAUUAGAUACCCCACUAUGCUUAGCCCUAAACCUAAAUACUUAAAUAACAAAACUAUUUGCCUGAGAACUACUAGCCACAGCUUAAAACUCAAAGGACUUGGCGGUACUUUAUAUCCACCUAGAGGAGCCUGUUCUAUAAUCGAUAUACCCCGCUAUACCUCACCACCUCUUGCUAAUCCAGCCUAUAUACCGCCAUCUUCAGCAAACCUUAAAAAAGAAUAAAAGUAAGCAAGAUUAUCGCCAUAAAAACGUUAGGUCAAGGUGUAGCCUAUGAGGUGGGAAGCAAUGGGCUACAUUUUCUUUUUAAGAACACUACGAGACCCUUUAUGAAAACUAAGGGGCAAAGGAGGAUUUAGUAGUAAAUUAAGAAUAGAGAGCUUAAUUGAAUAGAGCAAUGAAGUACGUACACACCGCCCGUCACCCUCCUCAAAUUGAACAAACAAACAUUAUACAUAAUUACAGCAAAAGUUCAUGAGAGGAGAUAAGUCGUAACAAGGUAAGCAUACUGGAAAGUGUGCUUGGAUUAAUCACAGUGUAGCUUAAACCCAAUAAAGCAUCUGGUCUACACCCAGAAGACUCCACACCCAAUGGACGCUAUGAGCUAACCCUAGCCCUAUAAAUAUUAGACUCAACUAUUCUCAUCAAUCAACUAAAACAUUCAAACUAAAGCAGUAUUGGAGAAAGAAACUAAAUUUAAGGAGCUAUAGAGACAGUACCGUAAGGGAAAGAUGAAAGAAAUGUUUAAAGCACAUAAAAGCAAAGAUUAAAUCUUGUACCUUUUGCAUAAUGAACUAACUAGAAAACACCUAACUAAAAGAAUUUAAGCUAGGAACCCCGAAACUAAACGAGCUACCUAAGAGCAAUUUUAAGGAUGAACCCGUCUAUGUAGCAAAAUAGUGGGAAGACUUCUAGGUAGAGGUGAAAAGCCAAACGAGUUUAGUGAUAGCUGGUUACCCAAAAAAGAAUUUCAGUUCUACUUUAAGAUUACCCUAAGAAAACCAAAUCAAAAUGUAAUCUUAAAAUAUAGCCUAAAGAGGGACAGCUCUUUAGACUAAGGAGAAAACCUUAAAUAGUGAGUAAGCCAAAAAUAACAGACCAUAGUUGGCUUUAAAGCAGCCACCAAUAAAGAAAGCGUUCAAGCUCAACACUAAGAACCUUACAAUACCUAAAACUUAAAACGACCUCCUAUUUAAAAAUUGGGUCAAUCUAUUUGUUUAUAGAUGAGACAAUGUUAGUAUGAGUAACAAGAAUUUUUUUCUCCGAGCACAAGCCUAUAACAACCCGGAUAACCAUUGCUAGUUAACAUAUAUAAGUUUACCAUCACAAUGUAAAACUCACUUUUCACUUAAUGUUAACCCAACACAGGUGUGCUUAAAGGAAAGAUUAAAAGAAGUAAAAGGAACUAGGCAAACAAGAAUCCCGCCUGUUUACCAAAAACAUCACCUCUAGCAUUACAAGUAUUAGAGGCAAUGCCUGCCCAGUGACAUUAGUUUUAACGGCCGCGGUAUCCUGACCGUGCAAAGGUAGCAUAAUCACUUGUUCCUUAAUUAGGGACUAGAAUGAAUGGCUUAACGAGGAUUCAACUGUCUCUUACUUCUAAUCAGUGAAAUUGACCUUCCCGUGAAGAGGCGGGAAUACACUAAUAAGACGAGAAGACCCUAUGGAGCUUUAAUCCCAUAGCUUAACCAAAUAAUAUAAACCGACCUACUGGUAAUAAAACAUUUAAAACAUAAGCUCUGGAUUUUGGUUGGGGUGACCUCGGAGAAUAAAAAAUCCUCCGAAUGACUAUAGCCUAGACACACAAGUCGAAGCAUUAACUGUCCAAUUGACCCAAAAACAUUUGAUCAACGGACUAAGUUACCCUAGGGAUAACAGCGCAAUCCUAUUCAAGAGUCCAUAUCGACAAUUAGGGUUUACGACCUCGAUGUUGGAUCAGGACAUCCCAAUGGUGUAGAAGCUAUUAAAGGUUCGUUUGUUCAACGAUUAAAGUCCUACGUGAUCUGAGUUCAGACCGGAGCAAUCCAGGUCGGUUUCUAUCUAUUAACAAUUUCUCCCAGUACGAAAGGACAAGAGAAAUGGAGCCCCCUUAACAAAAGCGCUCCAAACUAAUUAAUGAAACUAUCUAAAUUAUAGUAAGUAUGUACACUUUACCCCUAGAACAGGGGAUUGUUAGGGUGGCAGAGCCCGGAAAUUGCGAAAGGUUUAAAACCUUUUACUCAGAGGUUCAAGUCCUCUCCCUAACAGUGCACUUUAUUAAUAUCCUCACACUUCUACUACCCAUCCUAAUCGCUAUAGCCUUUCUAACACUAGUAGAACGAAAAAUACUAGGCUAUAUACAACUACGAAAGGGGCCAAAUAUCGUAGGACCAUACGGAAUUCUACAACCAUUCGCCGACGCAAUAAAACUGUUCAUUAAAGAACCCCUACGACCCUUAACUACCUCAACAUCCCUAUUUAUUUUAGCCCCCACACUAUCACUCACCCUAGCGUUUAGCCUAUGAGUUCCCCUACCAAUACCCCACCCCCUAAUCAACAUAAAUAUGGGAAUCUUAUUUAUCCUAGCCACCUCAAGCCUAGCUGUUUACUCAAUCUUAUGGUCAGGAUGAGCAUCAAACUCAAAGUACUCUUUAUUUGGAGCAUUACGAGCAGUAGCACAAACAAUCUCAUACGAAGUAACAAUAGCAAUUAUCCUAUUAUCAGUUCUCCUAAUAAGUGGAUCAUUCUCACUCCAAACCUUUAUUACAACCCAAGAACCUAUAUGACUAUUAAUUUCAUCAUGACCACUAGCUAUAAUAUGAUACAUUUCAACCCUAGCUGAAACCAACCGGGCCCCAUUCGACCUAACAGAGGGUGAAUCAGAACUUGUCUCUGGCUUUAACGUAGAAUACGCCGCAGGCCCAUUCGCCCUAUUCUUCAUAGCCGAAUACACUAACAUUAUUAUAAUAAAUGCCCUAUCAACAAUCGUAUUUCUAGGGCCAGCACAUGACCCGAACUACCCAGAAAUAUAUACAACCAACUUCAUAAUCAAAACACUCCUACUCACCUCAAUAUUUUUAUGAAUUCGAGCAUCCUACCCACGAUUUCGAUAUGACCAACUAAUACACCUCCUAUGAAAAAAUUUCCUACCCCUAACUCUAGCCCUCUGUACAUGACAUAUCUCAAUACCAAUAUUCAUAGCAAGUAUACCACCUUACACUUAGAAAUAUGUCUGAAAAAGAGUUACUUUGAUAGAGUAAAUUAUAGAGGUUUAAGCCCUCUUAUUUCUAGGACAACAGGAAUUGAACCUAUACUUUAGAAUUCAAAAUUCUACGUACUACCUUUAUACUAUAUUCUACACCAGCUAAAAGUAAGGUCAGCUAAUAAAGCUAUCGGGCCCAUACCCCGAAAAUGUUGGUUUAAACCCUUCCCGUACUAAUUAACCCAUUCACCCUCCUCAUCAUUUAUUUCACAAUCUUUUCAGGCCCAAUAGUCACUAUACUCAGCACCAACUACUUUCUUAUAUGAAUUGGUCUUGAAAUAAACUUACUAGCUAUUAUCCCACUUAUAACUGACAAAAAAAACCCACGAUCCACAGAAGCAGCAACAAAAUACUUCAUUACACAAGCCACAGCUUCUAUAAUCUUUCUACUAGCCAUUACAAUAAACUUCAAAUUUUUAGGAACAUGAAUAAUUAACUCUCAGUCAGACAACACAAUUAUUACCUUAAUAUUUAUCUCCCUAGCAAUCAAACUAGGCCUAGCACCCCUACACUCUUGACUACCAGAAGUAACCCAAGGAAUCCCACUAAAAACUAGCAUCAUUCUUCUGACAUGACAAAAACUAGCACCAAUAGCAAUCCUAUUUCAGACAUAUGAACUGAUAAAUACAUAUCUACUAACAACCUCCGCCCUCAUCUCAGUAUUAAUUGGAGCAUGAAAUGGACUUAACCAAACACAAACCCGAAAAAUCAUGGCCUAUUCAUCCAUCGCACACAUGGGAUGAAUGGUGGCUAUUCUACCCUAUAACCCACUAUUAACUAUAAUAAACUUAACCCUAUAUAUCCUACUGACACUAACCAUAAUUAUAAUUAUAAAAACAUACUCACUUACCUCAAUCAAAACAAUAUCCCUCCUGUGAAACAAAAUACCAACAAUACUUCCCCUGACAGCCCUAACCCUACUAUCCAUAGGAGGCCUUCCACCAUUAACAGGGUUUCUCCCAAAAUGACUUAUCAUCUCAGAACUUUUAAAAAAUAAUAGCCACAUCCUAGCCACGCUAAUAGCCAUAGCAGCACUGAUUAACCUGUUUUUCUACACACGCUUAAUUUACUCCACAUCCCUAAUUACCUUCCCAACAAACAACACUUCAAAAAUAUUUCUACACCAUACCCACAUAAAAAAUCACACCGUUCUAUCAACAGCAACCAUUCUAAGCACUAUAACCCUACCCCUAUCAACUAUAUUAACAUAAGAAGUUUAGGAUAAUAAGUCCGAGAGCCUUCAAAGCCCUUAGUAAACAUACAAGUUUAACUUCUGCCUAAGGACUGUAAGUCUACAUCUUACAUCUAAUGAAUGCAAAUCAAUUGCUUUAAUUUAAGCUAAAUCCUCACUAGAUUGGCAGGACUUAAACCUACGAAAUUUUAGUUAACAGCUAAAUACCCAACUACUGGCCUCAAUCUACUUCUCCCGCCUAUCAGAAAGGGGGCGGGAGAAGCCUUAGUAGAGUAUGUUAUCUACACCUUCGAAUUUGCAAUUCGAUGUGAUUAUCACCUUAAGACCUGGUAAAAAGAGGCCUCAAACCUCUGUCUUUAGAUUUACAGUCUAAUGCUUACUCAGCCAUUUUACCUAUGUUCAUUAACCGCUGAUUAUUUUCAACCAACCACAAAGACAUCGGAACCCUAUAUCUAAUAUUCGGGGCCUGAGCGGGUAUAGUAGGUACAGCCUUAAGUAUUCUCAUCCGAGCAGAGCUAGGCCAACCAGGAGCCCUACUAGGUGACGACCAAAUCUACAACGUAGUCGUCACAGCCCAUGCAUUCGUAAUAAUUUUCUUUAUGGUAAUACCAAUAAUAAUUGGGGGGUUUGGAAACUGACUGGUCCCCCUAAUAAUUGGAGCACCAGACAUAGCAUUCCCACGAAUAAAUAACAUAAGUUUCUGACUUCUACCACCGUCAUUUCUCCUACUUCUAGCAUCAUCAAUAGUUGAAGCCGGGGCAGGAACAGGAUGAACUGUAUACCCCCCACUAGCAGGAAACCUAGCCCAUGCUGGAGCAUCGGUAGACCUAACAAUCUUUUCACUACACCUAGCAGGAGUCUCAUCUAUCCUAGGAGCUAUUAACUUCAUCACCACAAUUAUUAACAUAAAACCACCAGCUAUAACACAAUAUCAAACCCCAUUGUUCGUAUGAUCCGUUCUUAUUACAGCUGUCCUACUACUUCUCUCACUACCAGUACUAGCUGCAGGCAUUACAAUACUUCUAACAGACCGAAAUCUAAACACAACCUUUUUUGACCCUGCUGGAGGAGGAGACCCAAUCCUCUACCAACACUUAUUCUGAUUCUUCGGACACCCAGAAGUCUAUAUUCUUAUCUUACCGGGCUUCGGAAUCAUUUCACACAUUGUCACAUACUACUCAGGAAAAAAAGAACCAUUCGGCUAUAUAGGAAUAGUAUGAGCAAUAAUGUCGAUUGGGUUUCUAGGAUUUAUUGUAUGAGCCCACCAUAUAUUUACAGUAGGACUAGACGUGGACACCCGAGCAUACUUCACAUCUGCCACCAUAAUCAUCGCCAUUCCAACCGGGGUAAAAGUAUUUAGCUGACUAGCAACACUCCACGGGGGUAAUAUUAAGUGAUCCCCAGCUAUGCUAUGAGCAUUGGGAUUUAUUUUCCUAUUUACAGUAGGCGGACUUACGGGAAUUGUACUGUCAAACUCAUCCCUAGAUAUUGUCCUCCAUGACACCUACUAUGUAGUAGCCCACUUCCACUAUGUGUUAUCAAUAGGAGCAGUAUUUGCAAUCAUAGCAGGGUUUGUCCACUGAUUCCCACUAUUCUCGGGUUAUACUCUUGAUGACACAUGAGCAAAAGCCCACUUUGCCAUCAUAUUUGUAGGAGUAAAUUUAACAUUCUUCCCACAACAUUUCUUAGGCCUAUCAGGUAUGCCACGACGAUACUCAGAUUACCCAGACGCUUACACAACAUGAAACACAGUAUCAUCCAUAGGAUCUUUCAUCUCACUAACCGCCGUACUAGUAAUAAUUUUUAUGAUCUGAGAGGCUUUCGCCUCUAAACGAGAAGUCCUAACAGUGGAACACACAUCCACCAAUCUUGAAUGACUCCACGGGUGUCCUCCGCCAUACCACACAUUUGAGGAACCAACAUUUGUUAAAGUAAAAUAAGAAAGGAAGGAUUCGAACCCCCUAAAAUUGGUUUCAAGCCAACUCCAUAACCUCUAUGUCUUUCUCAAU